CACAAAGUGAAAUCAUGACAACCAAACUGAUAGGCCCAAGUGUCCAUGAUAAAGUAGCAUAAAAGCAGUUCAUACAAUAUGCAGACAACUACUAUCUAAAAGAACACCAGUAGAAGCAUAAUUAAGAUUUUUUAGUACCAUAUUUGCAAAAAUUUUGUUAAUAACUGCAUAAUUGGCCAUUUUACCUUCAACGAAGAUACUCCAGUUCAGUAUAUAAAGCCUUGUGUGAUCCUAAGUAGCAGGAUACUUUUAUCAAAUAUGAACAUGAAGAAGUUGAGUUCCACUCAAGUCUCUUUGAGAGUCUUCUGCAUUAUAGGACAAUGUGACAAAUCAGAAAACAGGUUUUGGCAGUCCCUGUUUUCUUUACACCUGCCUUCCAACCGAUUUCACCACCAUGCAACUGCAAAGCAUAAUUUAGAUAAAACAAAUUAGCCAAAACAAAAACGAAUGUGGCUUUGCUUAAAGUAGCUUCAUGUUAAGGAGAUAAAGGAUCAUGUUUAAGAAUUUAAUUGGCUACCUAUUAUGCCCCGAAGCUCCAUCUCCACCAACGAAAAUUUUUGACACCACCACUGGUUAUUAACAUCAUAACUGCCCUACUUUAAGUUCUAAGAUACAAUAUGCAUCAACAUUUGCAUCAAACCAUUAUGGAGAUCCACAGGAAAAUCUUACAUCCUUGCAGUAUACAUAUAACAAGUUCACUUGGUAAAUAUCUAAGCCUUUCCGAUCAGGAAAAAUUAUUGUUUUCCAUUUAAUCAGAGAAUCAAAUGUAUCUUGCUCUACAGCCAAUAAUACUGAACAUGCGACUCCAGUUAUUAACAUACAGGAAACCUGCAGCUAGUCAUAUUAGGUGAUAACAUAUGUACCAACAAGUAUCAAAAAGCUAUAUGAAACAGAAUUUCAUGUGUAAGUGGAACUAUCGGUUGUUGCAGAAAGUUUGAGGCAAUGUAACUCAAAAUAUAAGAAAGCAUCAUAAAGAAAGACUCAGAUGCUGAUAAAUCUAAAGCACUGUCAAUAAUGGAAAACCAUGGAAACUACUUUCCCAGUUCUGAGGUUGCAAUUGCCAAAUUUUGAUAUUCAUAAACGCCAAAUGGGUGGGUCCAUCAUUUUUAGUAGUUUUUAAUCCUGCUUGGGGAGAUUUCAAUUCUGUUCCCCAUCUUCUGGUUGACAACUUGAAGUUGAUACAUUUUUCACACAAGUGAUGGGAUAAAAUGGUUGUAGUGAUAGCUGUAGCAUCUUAUUUUUUGAGUCAGCCUUGGUUAGAAAAUUUUGGUAUCAAACUUAUAUAUUUCAAAUAAUUCGCAUCUUUUGACGAUAAAUCUAUAACAAGUGAUAAUGUGGAUGCAUCAGGCAAAAUAUUUCUCUCAGCCAUUUUCUGAAGAAGUCCAACUACUUUUGCGGCCUCAUUAUAAUUGAAAAAUCCUUCAAGUUUGUUAAAAGUGACUACAUUGGGUGCCCAGAUCUUUCCAGAGUGUGAAACAGCUCCAUUGCCUCUUCAAGGCGAUUGUUAUUGCAAAAUCCGUCCAAUAAUAUAUUAUAUGUAAAAGAAUUUGGAGUCACUCAUCUGUUGAAAAAUGCCCACGCAUCCUCAAAGUGAAAUAGAUUGGUCAACAAAGUGUUGAAUGUAAUUAUAUCUGGCUUGUAUUCUUCACAAACCAUUACUUUAAAAAGCCUCAUUGCCUCUUCUAAUUUAUGGCUUUUACAAUACCCAUUGAUCAAUGCAUUAUAGCUCACAACGUCUCCCUUGCAGCCUCUAUCUGCCAUAAAAACAGACAACUCCCUCGCAUCACAAAUCCUAUCCUGUAGACAGAACCCAUUUAUCAAUACAAUAUAUUUAAAAGAAUUGGGCUCUUCACCUCUUUGAAUCAUCAAGUUAAACAAUCCACGUGCUUCAUUGGUCUUUCCCUCUUUACAAAGCGUGUGUAUCAAGAUAUUAAACAAUAUCACAUCAGGACGAAUGUCUUGAUCCACCAUUUCAAUAAAGAACCGCUUUGCCUCCUCCCACUCACUGCCCUCACAUAAACCAUGAAUAAACCACUUAUAUGUAAUCAAGUUUGGCCUAAUUCCUCUACCCUUCAUCUCCAAAAACAACUGUUUACCCUUGUCCAACAACCCCUCUUUACAAAGGCCGUGAAUAAGUGUGGCAUAACUAAAGUUAGGCUUAAAUCUUAAAUCUUAAAUCAGACCGUCCAUGCCUUUUCCCCACCUCUUUAUGCAAACAAAGAGCCAUCUCUGCUUUUCCACUCGUACAUUACCCCUUAAUCAAAGUCCCACAAGUCCAGGUAGUUGGUUGAAAUCCCAUUUCAGUAAUUUUAUUGAACAACAUAACUGCAUCAUUAAUCUUAUCUUCCAUACACAGCCCCUUGGUGGCGAAUGUUGCAUUUGCAGCAUCUGAUAAAAGGAGCUUACGGCAUCAUUAGUGUUGAUUUCAGUUUGUUCGGAUUUGGAAGGGCUUAUGAAUAAUGAUGAAAGCUUACCUCUUUGGGCAGUCAUUGAAAUCACAGAAGCUGCUGGACUUGUGCGAAUCAUUUCUUAAGCUUCAUACGACAACAAGAGAACACACAGACAGAAAGCAAAGACCCACGAUAAUUCAUGGGUGGAAGUGGAAUUGGGAGAUGAAUCGGCAGCUCCAUUCUCGUAUAACCAUCAUCCCACCUUAUCGAGUUGAUUGUUCCAAUGGUUACUGGGUUCAUGUUUUUUAUUGGUUGUUGAAGUUUAAAGUAUCGAUUUUUGGUUACGAAAUUUAGUUCUAUGUCUUUGAU
rnacentral:lncRNA from 1 species